AUUCGGCUGACGAGUCCCAACUAGGACGAAAUGCGCAUCCUGGAU
rnacentral:hammerhead_ribozyme from 1 species